AAGGAGCAGUGCCAACUUUAGCAAACUGCCACUAUCAUUCCUUUGUUUGAGUAAUAACCCAGAAGUGACAUUAUCUUCCAUCAAACUGUUUUCCUAUCUCCAGAAGCAAUCAAAUAGGAGAUUAUAAGAAGCACAACUUCUCAGGUGGGCCCUUCUUAUCAUUUUCUAUCUUGGCUGUCAGUUACCAUUCUCAGAAUGUCAAGACACAGAAGCUAACUGGAAUUACCCUGACAAACCUUCAAACCAGACUUUGGAAGACGGUUCUCUUACCAAGGAAAGGCCAACAAGAUAAAGGAUGAAACUACUGUACCUGACUUUGGGCCUCCUGGCUCUCGUCACAUAUUUCCCGUUAAGUAGGACACAGCAGAGACAGACUGGGUCACUUGAUCAGAAAAGGACUGAUCAGUCAGGCUAUGUUCAAAAGUCUAACCGAAUGCAAUCACAGCAAAAUUCACCUCCUCGACAGAGGAUAGAAGCAGCAAGAUCUCCUUCAAGUGCAAGCACUUCAAAAAGCAAACCUGCAAGGCAAAGCAAACGUGUUGCACGAAAACCCCAAACCAAAACAGAUGCAAAAGGGGGGUCUGUUCUACAAAAAUCUCCCAGAAAAACAGCAGCACAAGGGAGAGCUCUUCAACAAAAUCCUCAGACCAAAGCAGCCCCCAGAAAGACACCCGUUUCUCGAAAGCUUCGACCCAAAGCAGCCCCCAGAAAGAAGGCCGUUUCACCAAAUCCUCAGACCACAACAUCCUCUGGAAGGAGGGCUGUUUCACGAAACCCUCAGCCUAAAACAGCAGCCAGAAAAAAGGUAGUUUCAUCAGAUCCUCAGACCACAACAGUCUCUAGAGGGAAGACAGUUUCACGAAACUCUCGGAGCAAAAUAGUCACCAGAAAGAAGCCCGUUUCUCGAAAGCCUCGACCCAAAACAGCCAUCAGAAAGAAGCGCCUUUCACCAAAUUCUCAGAUCACAACAGUCACCAAAAAGAAGUCAGUUUCACCAAAUCCUCAGACCACAACAGUCACCAAAAAGAAGCCAGUUNNNNNNNNNNCCGUUUCUCGAAAGCCUCAGCGCAAAAGAGUCACCAGAAGGAAGCCCAUUUCACGAAAGCCUCAGCCCACAACAGUCACCAAAAAGAAGCCUGUUUCACGAAAACCUCGGCCUACAACAGCCCCAUGCACAAAACAUCCGGUACCUUCUCACAAAAAAACUCUAUCUACAACUGGAGCACAAAAAACCCCUCUCCCAAAGAAACCAUCACCCCCCAGAAAAGGUCCCAAACGCAGACCUCAUCCACCUCGACCUAAGCCACAGAGACCGGGCCAACAUAAUUGCCGUCCAAAACCAAAUGUUCCCCACAGACCUAAACCAACAAUCUCGAAACCAACAACCAAACCUUACACCGCUACCACCAAACAAACCACUACAACUACCCAGGAACCCACAACCACCAAUUCUAACAUUAAUAUUAAACCUACUACCACCACUGCCACCAAAUCUACUACCCCAUCUACUACCACCAGUCUAUCUUCUACCCCUACCACAAGAGUUUCAUCCACUCCAUCUGGCAGCACUACCACCCUGACUGACAUUAGCCCGGCACCAGUUGUUGUCACAUCUACUGCCUCAACCACAAGAUCUGCUCACACCACACCCAUUGCCACAACUACCACCUCUGCUGCCUUGAACACAACUGAAGGCACCACAUCUCCUGCCACUACCACAACUGUGGCAACUUCUCCUUCUGCCACCUCUACCACCACCCCUCUAUCAACCACCUCUGUCACUAGUACCACAGCUAUUACCUCUACCACCACCCCUCUAUCAACCACCUCUGUCACUAGUACCACAGCUAUUACUUCUACCACUAUUGCCACUGCAUCCACACCUGUUGUCUCUAACACAACAGUGGCACGCACCCAAUUUGCUGCCAUUAGCACAAACCCUGAUACAACGUCUGCUACGGUUACGACCACAUUGGCUGCCCUCACAUCUGCCCCUACCACACAAGCUGCCACUACCUCUUCUGCCACCUCGACCACAACACCUGCUGCAGCUACCACUGCUGCCCCCAGCACUACCUCUGCUGCCUCCUCUACCACACCUGCUAGCACAACAUCUGUGGCCACCACUGCCCAACCUACAGCCACAUCUGUUCUCUCAUCUGCUCCUCCCACCACAAUCACCACCAGCCUGAUCUCCACUGACACAACUGCUUCUGUUAGCACCACACCUGAUGAGACAUCUGUCCCCUCAGUCACACCUGAGGAUACAACCAUUGCUGAUACUUUCCCCCCUGACACAACUAUGGUGGUGGAUGAUUCCACCACCCCCGAUGACAACACUGAUGCUACCACUCUGACUGACACCUCUUUCCCUACUGAGGCCACCACCCCCGAGGUCAGCACUUCUAUCCCAACUACUACAGUUACAUCCGCUGAACCUACAACCUUCACAUCUGCUACCGCUGCCAUUGCUACCUCUGGAGCCACUUCUACUGCCACCACCCCUCUAUCAACCUCCUCUGUCACUAGUACCACAACUGUUACUUCCACCACUACUGUCACUGGGUCCACAUCUACUUUACCUACAUCUGUCCCUACCACACAAGAUGCCACUACCACGUCUGCCUCUUCAACCACUACACCUACUUUCACUAACACUACUCCUACUGUAACCACCUCUGCUACCACGAGUACCACCAAUUCUGCAACUACCAUAUUUCCUUCCCCUACUACAGAACCUGUAAGUACCACAUCUACCCUCAGCACAUCUGCCCCAACUACAUCUGUAACCACUAGCACAUCUGCUAGCACAUCUGUCAUUAGUACAACUGCCCUUACCACACCUAGAGCCACUGAUUCUCUAUCCUCUCCAGCAACAACUUUUGCCCCUACAUCUUCUGCUGUUGUCACCCUUGAUACCUCUACUUUUGAUGACAUCUCAUCCACUGACCCUAUCACCCCCACUGACAUAACCACUGAUGCACUGGCCACUACUGAUGAAGUGACCACUGAUCCUGACACAAGCACAUCCGAUGAAACAGCCACGACUGAAGAACCGGUCACAUUUGAUGAAACCACCAUAGCCACUACUUAGGGAAGCCAUCAGCACCGAGGAAUAUGAAACCGCCUUUCUGGGGAAAUGAGCACUGAUUCAACUGUCAUCACAACUGAUUUCACCACAUCUAAUCCGAAUUAGUACGGGGCUGCCCAUAACCAUAAGGCAGGAUGAAAGAGGGUCUUGGUGAGGAGAUAAAAAUAAAGCCUAAUGCAACUUGAAUUCA
ensembl:lncRNA